UACAGAGGUCUCAAGCGUUGUUCGGAUUCAUUGGGCGUAAAGGGUGCGUAGGUGGCGCCGUAAGUCGGGUGUGAAAUUUCGGAGCUUAACUCCGAAACUGCAUUCGAUACUGUGGUGCUUGAGGACUGGAGAGGAGACUGGAAUUCAUGGUGUAGCAGUGAAAUGCGUAGAGAUCAUGAGGAAGACCAGUGGCGAAGGCGAAUCUCUGGACAGUUCCUGACGCUCAUGCACGAAGGCCAGGGGAGCAAACGGG
rnacentral:rRNA from 1 species